rnacentral:rRNA from 1 species
AGUGAACGCUGGCGGUAGGCCUAACACAUGCAAGUCGAACGGCUGCACAGUAAAAGCUUGCUCUUACGGGUGCCGAGUGGCGGAUGGGUGAGAAAUACAUCUGAAUCUACUUUUUCUUGGGUGAUGACGCAGGCAGACUUACGCUAAUACCGCAUACGGCCUACGGGUGAAAGCAGUGGAUCUUCCGCCCUUUCCCGAUUGAAUGACCCCAUUCCUGAUUCGCUAGUUGGCGGGGUAAAGGCCCACCAAGGCGACGAUCCGUAGCUGGUCUGAGAGGAUGAUCAGCCACCCUGGAACUGAGACACGCUCCCGACUCCUACGGGAGGCAGACGUGGGGAAUAUUGGCCAAUGGGCGCAAGCAUGAUCCAGCCAUGCCGCGUGGGUGAAGAAGGUCUUCGGGUUGUAAAGCCCUUUUGUUGGGAAAGAAAAGCAGCAGGUUCAUACCCCGAUGUUCUGACGGUACCCAAAGAAUACGCACCGGCCAACUUCGUG